rnacentral:tRNA from 1 species
GUUUCUAUGGUGUAAAUAGCACGUUAGAUUUUCAUUCUAAAAGGAUAAGUUAACUUAUUAGAAAUA